rnacentral:rRNA from 1 species
GACGAACGCUGGCGGCGUGCUUAACACAUGCAGGUCGAACGGAAAGGCCCCUUUGGGGGUACUCGAGUGGCGAACGGGUGAGUAACACGUGAGUAACCUGCCCUUGACUUCGGGAUAACUUCAGGAAACUGGGGCUAAUACCGGAUAGGAAUCCUUGCUGCAUGGUGGGGGUUGGAAAGCUUCGGCGGUUUUGGAUGGACUCGCGGCUUAUCAGCUUGUUGGUGGGGUAGUGGCUUACCAAGGCUUUGACGGGUAGCCGGCCUGAGAGGGCGACCGGCCACAUUGGGACUGAGAUACGGCCCAGACUCCUACGGGAGGCAGCAGUGGGGAAUAUUGCACAAUGGGCGGAAGCCUGAUGCAGCAACGCCGCGUGCGGGAUGACGGCCUUCGGGUUGUAAACCGCUUUCAGCAGGGGCGAAGCUUUUGUGACGGUACCUGCAGAAGAAGCACCGGCUAACUACGUG